GAUGAACGCUGGCGGCGUGCCUAAUACAUGCAAGUCGAGCGAACGGACGAGAAGCUUGCUUCUCUGAUGUUAGCGGCGGACGGGUGAGUAACACGUGGAUAACCUACCUAUAAGACUGGGAUAACUUCGGGAAACCGUAGCUAAUACCGGAUAAUAUUUUGAACCGCAUGGUUCAAAAGUGAAAGACGGUCUUGCUGUCACUUAUAGAUGGAUCCGCGCUGCAUUAGCUAGUUGGUAAGGUAACGGCUUACCAAGGCAACGAUGCAUAGCCGACCUGAGAGGGUGAUCGGCCACACUGGAACUGAGACACGGUCCAGACUCCUACGGGAGGCAGCAGUAGGGAAGCUUCCGCAAUGGGCGAAAGCCUGACGGAGCAACGCCGCGUGAGUGAUGAAGGUCUUCGGAUCGUAAAACUCUGUUAUUAGGGAAGAACAUAUGUGUAAGUAACUGUGCACAUCUUGACGGUACCUAAUCAGAAAGCCACGGCUAACUACGUG
rnacentral:rRNA from 1 species